rnacentral:lncRNA from 1 species
GUUUAUAAGAGACUUAGACACUAGUAAUAAUAACUGGGCUUAAGCAUUUUGGGCCGGUGGUUGGGCCCAACGAGUUAUUGUUGCUAGUGGGCUGGGUCGUUACAUUUGGUAUCAGAGCCGGUUCACCAGCUGGACAUGUGUGGCGAGUCUCGGCUGAGCCAGGGUCUGGAUGACGGGCUAGCGAGACGAGUCUCACAUCGCCUGGUGAUCUUGGGCUGUGUGUGUGAUUGGACUGACGAGGACGUCAGGGCCUUAACGGGGGGAGUCUGUGACACCCCAAUAGUCCCACAUCGGAUGGGAAUGGGGUUGUCAUUGGGUUUAUAAGAGACUUAGACACUAGUAAUAAUAACUGGGCUUAAGCAUUUUGGGCCGGUUGUUGGGUCCAACGAGUUAUUGUUGCUAGUGGGCUGGGUCGUUACAUAUUGUUGCUAGUGGGCUCGGUCGUUAUAUUUGGUAUCAGAGCCGGUUCACCAGCUGGACAUGUAUGGCAAGUCUCGGCUAAGCCAGGGUCUGGAUGACGGGCUAGCGAGACGAGUCUCACAUAACCUGGUGAUCUUGGGCUGUGUGUGAUUGGACUGACGAGGACGUAAGGACCUUAACGGGGGGAGUCUGUGACACCCCAAUAGUCCCACAUCGGAUGGGG